AUUGUUCAUUGCUCAUUGGAUAUAAUUGAAUGGUUUAAGUAUAAGUUGAAAAAGGUUUUUAAAUUGUACUUGAUACUGAUUCACCCCCCUCUCAGUAUCAACAACAAUGAUGUAGUGAAAUAGUCACCAUGGGAGUUUGAGGCAAUAACAUGUCUGUGAUGCCCUUAGAUGUUCUGGGCUACACACACACUACACUGGUGUAGUGAAAGAGUUGUUCUCACUAUUUGAGAGGACUAGGAGAUAUUCUCAAAUUGCAUCUUGAUGGGGAUAGAUCAUUGCAAUUAUUGAUAAUCAAGGAGGAAUUCCUUGUAAGAACAUUUCAACAACUUAUAUUGCCUACAUCCUGCCCUUUGUACACACCACCUGACACUCCUACCAAUCAAAU
rnacentral:ncRNA from 1 species